rnacentral:rRNA from 1 species
AACGAACGCUGGCGGCAUGCCUAACACAUGCAAGUCGAACGAAGCCUUCGGGCUUAGUGGCGCACGGGUGCGUAACACGUGGGAAUCUGCCCUUCGGUUCGGAAUAACAGUUAGAAAUGACUGCUAAUACCGGAUGAUGACGAAAGUCCAAAGAUUUAUCGCCGAAGGAUGAGCCCGCGUAGGAUUAGGUAGUUGGUAGGGUAAUGGCCUACCAAGCCGACGAUCCUUAGCUGGUCUGAGAGGAUGAUCAGCCACACUGGGACUGAGACACGGCCCAGACUCCUACGGGAGGCAGCAGUGGGGAAUAUUGGACAAUGGGCGAAAGCCUGAUCCAGCAAUGCCGCGUGAGUGAUGAAGGCCUUAGGGUUGUAAAGCUCUUUUACCAGGGAUGAUAAUGACAGUACCUGGAGAACAAGCUCCGGCUAACUCCGUGCCAGCAGCCGCGGUAAU